rnacentral:rRNA from 1 species
AGCUCCAAUAGCGUAUAUUAAAGUUGUUGCAGUUAAAAAGCUCGUAGUUGGAUUUCGGGGCGGCCUGGCUGGUCCGUCGCAAGACGAGCACUGGUCAGCCGCCCUUCCUCUCGAAAGCCCCGACUGCUCUUCACUGCAGUGGUCGGGGAGUUCGGGACGUUUACUUUGAAAAAAUUAGAGUGUUCAAGGCAGGCGUCACUAGCUUGAAUACAUGAGCAUGGAAUAAUGGAAUAGGACCUCGGUCCCUAUUUCGUUGGUUUUAUGGACCGAGGUAAUGAUUAAGAGGGACAGUUGGGGGCAUCCGUAUUUCGCAGUCAGAGGUGAAAUUCUUGGAUCUGCGAAAGACGAACAAGUGCGAAAGCAUUUGCCAAGAGUGUUUUCAUUAAUCAAGAACGAAAGU